GCCAGACUCCUACGGGAGGCAGCAGUGGGGGAUAUUGCACCAUGGGGGGAACCCUGCUGCAGCGACGCCGCGUGGGUGACGGCGUGCUUCGGCAUUUCCCGCCCUAUCGGCCUUGAAGAAGCCCGCCGGUACCUGCCUCCUCAGCCCCGUCUCCCUACGUGCCCUCCUCCGCGGUAAUCCGUCUGGGGCGAUCUUUAUCCGGAUUCCCUGGGGGUAAAGGGAGCGUAGACGGCCGUGCAAGCCAGGGGGGAAAGCCCGGGGACCAACCCCGGGACUGCCCUUGGAACUGCAUGGCUGGAGUGCGGGAGGGGCAGGCGGAAUGCCUGGUGUAGCGGUGAAAUGCGUAGAGAGAAGGAGGAACACCGGCGGCGAAGGCGGCCUGCUGGACCGCGACUGACGUUGAGGCUCGAAAGCGUGGGGAGCGAACAGGAUUAGAUACCCCUGUA
rnacentral:rRNA from 1 species